CAUCAGACGCAAUCUGCCGCAAAAAUGUUGCGGUUCACCGCAAAAUUGGAUACCUUGGCGAAACGCCAAGCUAAUACAUGAACUAAAAGGCUAUUUCCGAUCCGGCGAGGGUCAAACCGAGCCAGCGAAGUGCCUUGCAGAUGAAUGAAAUUAAAAUCAACGCCCGUAAAAGGCAGCAGCACUAGUAGUGUUGAAUCAAUUCAUCUUGCGAAAGCCGAUUUAUCGGCGUAUUUUGACGAACAACUGCCCUAUCAGCUGUUGAUGGCCGUGUAGUGGACUGCCAUGGCUUUGACGGGAGCGGGGGAUUAGGGUUCGAUUCCGGAGAGGGAGCCUGAGAAAUGGCUACCACUUCUACGGAGGGCAGCAGGCGCGCAAAUUGCCCAAUGCCAAAACAAAUGAUGAGGCAGCGAAAAGAAAUAGGUGCGAAAUGUGAGCAAUCACCUUUCGCUUUCAAUGGGGGAUAUUUAAAACCAUCCAACAUCGAUCAACAAUUGGAGGACAAGUCUGGUGCCAGCACCCGCGGUAAUUCCAGCUCCAAGAGCGUAUAUUAACGCUGUUGCUGUUAAAGGGUUCGUAGUUGAAUUCUGAGUUGCUUGGUAUAGAGACAAAGUCCAUUUCACUACUGUCAUGG
rnacentral:rRNA from 1 species